rnacentral:rRNA from 1 species
CAGAGACUGCGAGCGUUAUUCGGAUUCACUGGGCGUAAAGGGUGCGCAGGCGGCCGAGUGUGUGAGGCGUGAAAGCCCGGGGCUUAACCCCGGAAUUGCACCUCAAACUACACGGCUAGAGCAUUGGAGAGGGUAGCAGAAUUCAUGGUGUAGCAGUGAAGUGCGUAGAUAUCAUGAGGAAUACCAGAGGCGAAGGCGGCUACCUGGACAAUUGCUGACGCUCAGGCACGAAAGCGUGGGGAGCAAAAGGGAUUAGAUACCCCUGUAGUCCACGCCCUAAACGGUGCACGCUAGGUCUUGGCGGAUUCGACCCCCCCAGGGCCCAAGCUAACGCGUUAAGUGUGCCGCCUGAGGACUACGGCCGCAAGGCUA